rnacentral:rRNA from 1 species
CAGCCGCGCGGUAAUACGAAGGGGGCUAGCGUUGUUCGGAUUUACUGGGCGUAAAGGGUGCGUAGGCGGACUGAUAAGUCAGGGGUGAAAUCCCAAGGCUCAACCUUGGAACUGCCUUUGAUACUGUUAGUCUUGAGUUCGAGGGAGGUGAGUGGAACUGCGAGUGUAGAGGUGAAAUUCGUAGAUAUUCGCAAGAACACCAGUGGCGAAGGCGGCUCACUGGCUCGAAACUGACGCUGAGGAGCGAAAGCGUGGGGAGCGAACAGGAUUAGAUACCCCCGUAGUCCCUGUCUCUUAUACA